CUCUUUAUGUGUGUGCGUGUGUGCGGAUGAACAAGUUUGGUACAAAGUAGCCCAAAGACCAGCUGCAGUACAGAUUAGAGAUUUUGUGGUUUUCUGGUUGACUGGAUUGUUUCUCAUCUUUAGCUGUUUCCUCUCUGACAGAACUCCUAUGUCUUAUCUGAGCGCCACAGCCUUUCAUGAAUCUUUAUAUAGCUCUGUUGCCAUGGGCAUCAUUGUGGAUACACAGCCUGACACUAACCAAGAGAAACGACAGAAAGAUAAUUCAGAGAAAAGACAAAGUUCAGACCAAAACCGCUGAAAGGUUAGAUGAAUAUCAAUGUUUAUUUUAUGUUUUAUAUUAAAUCUGUGUGUCUAACAUUAAUGGAAAGUUUAUUUUAGCAUAGCUAUUGGUUGCGGCCUCAGGAAACUCUAUUGUCAGAGAAAAAUAGUGGGUAACAAUCUCCUGUCCUGGCAGGCCUCGGACUGUCGGGGCCGGAUAUUUGUGUUUGUUUACUGUAGAUAUUGUUUACUAUACCAUUACCAGAACAAACUGCUAAACUCUUUGUCCAACCAUGGGAAUCAGAAGGGAGAUUUUUCAUGUCAGCAUCCCGACUGUUCAAGUCAAAGCACGACUGCCCUGGUGGAAAAUCCAGCUUUAGUGAUUUAAAACAUGGUAGCUUGUCCAUGGUGGUUCAACAUUGUGGUGGUUCAGCUUAGAUUUGAAAUACCAGCUGGUAGGGACCUGGCUUGGCAGGCAGACCAUCGUGGACAAGUAAGAAGGCAGUUAAGAGGUUCUAAAACCAGCUGGACUUUGUAUGUUUUGCUGCAGGCCAGGUGUAGUUCCUCAAUCAUCAAAACCAGCCUAAAUGGACUUGGACCAGCUAGAAAUAAGGAUCCUAUGUGAACUUCAGUAACCCACUUGCAUCUGAGAAACAGAGAUAGCGAGUGAGGUAGGUCUGCAUUUAUUCUGUGUAGAUCACAGAUGAAGGCACUGGAUGUCAUCCAGUCCUAUGGAAGUUGAGUAGACACAGAUAAGUUGAGCACAGGCAUAAUACUCUCUUUACUAUCAGGCCGCUCUGAAAUGAAUUGCCCCCCGGUCAUUCCCGUGGGCACAAUAAGGCCUUUUACAUUUCCUGAACACGCACUGGCACACAUGAUAACUCCCUGAUUGAAUUAGCUCAAUGCUAUAUGACUUCCUGUAUGGAAAGCAGAUGAAUUUGAAAUUCGUAUGUCUUAUGGCAACAGAGAUUCAUAAUUUCACAUCUCAGCAAAUAUCCAAGGAAGAAAAUCGCAAUACUUAAUGACAUCACCACACCCUGUUGCCAAAAACAAUAUUGUUAUCGAAACAAUGAGACAUACCAAUCCUGAUAAUCUUGACAUUUCACUGUGAACCUCCACACCUUCAUUGUAAAUCCUGUUGAGUACGAUGCAAUCUGUGACUGUCACGUUUUGCACACUAUUAACAGGCCACAGACAUCCUGAAAGACGGCUUGCUCUGAAAUACUGAAGUGUGCUUAGUCAUAACAGAGAAAUAAUGACUCAGAAACAUGCCGAUGAUAUUUUUCAGCACUUCAGUCAGCAUAUUGUGCCAAAGCCAUUCUGCUACACAUCGUAAUGUACGUUAUUCUUUUGUUUGAAACAGAUGCAGUGUAUGAACUGUUGUUAUUGAUCGUUACUUUUUGUUUGGAUGCUUUUAUUAAUGGUUUAAGUUAAUGUUGGCGGUUAUUGACUGGCCAGAAACACUCACUCUGGGCUCUUUUGCCUCCUCCCCUCAAAAAACUAUUAUCACAUACUUGACCUCCAAAGGUCAGGAAAAGGGAAAUCGAAAGCAGGGUCACAUUCUAACAGAGAAGCAAGAUAUUAUGCUGACCGUCUGAUACUUUUGAGAGGAAAUCAGUUAUGCUGACCUUUCAAGCAUAACUUAACAAUCGCUUUACAUCCUGUUGUGCCAAACUGAGAUGAUGAGUUUUAAAUAUGUAUUAAAUGUAUAUGAAUUUAUUUAUUUUCAUAUGUGUGUGUGUAUGUGUGUAUCAACAUCAGCCCCUGUAAUGAUAUGAUUGUUCAUCUUGCGCAGCUUUUUCUCUAUCUGCUC
rnacentral:lncRNA from 1 species